rnacentral:ncRNA from 5 species
UCGAACCAUCUAGUAGCUGGUUCC